rnacentral:rRNA from 1 species
UAAGACGAACCGUGCGAACGUUAUUCGGAUUCACUGGGCUUAAAGCGCGUGUAGGCGGCACGGCGCGUCGGUCGCUGAAAGCCCCCGGCUCAACCGGGGAAUCGGCACCGAAACGGCCGGGCUGGAGGGGUGUAGGGGGGUCUGGAACUUCCGGUGGAGCGGUGAUAUGCGUUGAGAUCGGAAGGAACGCCCGAGGCGAAAGCGAGACCCUGGACACUUUCUGACGCUGAGACGCGAAAGCUAGGGGAGCAAACGGGAUUAGAUACCCCGGUAGUCCUAGCUGUAAACGAUGGGCACUGGGCAGUGGGAUCGUCCAUGGUCUCUCUGCCGCAGCGAAAGCGUGAAGUGCCCCGCCUGGGGAGUAUGGUCGCAAGGCUGAAACUCAAAUGAAUUGACGG